AAGACUUCUUUUUCAGAAUCUGCCAAAAGACUUGAACAUUUCCAUUUACCAGAGAACCUAUCCAACCUGACAAAGCUUAAAGUGGCAAAGACCCCCGAUGGUGCCAUUGCUUCUGGAGGUCCAGGUAAAAGGUGAGUUCUACUUACCUGAACCUGUCCCUCCUGCGUGCCACCAUCUUCUCCUGGUGGGUCCUCUUCAGCUCCUGAUACUCUAGCACCGGAAGGGGGUGUCAAUGUUGAACUCUUGCGCAUGCAUG